rnacentral:rRNA from 1 species
UACGUAGGGCGCAAGCGUUGUCCGGAUUCACUGGGCGUAAAGCGUGCGCAGGCGGUCUCUUAAGACAGGUGUGAAAUCCCCGGGCUUAACCUGGGAACUGCGCUUGUAACUGAGAGGCUUGAGUGUGCCAGAGGGGGGUGGAAUUCCAGGUGUAGCAGUGAAAUGCGUAGAUAUCUGGAGGAACACCGAUGGCGAAGGCAGCCCCCUGGGCUAACACUGACGCUCAUGCACGAAAGCGUGGGGAGCAAACAGG